UGGGGAAUUUUGCGCAAUGGGGGAAACCCUGACGCAGCAACGCCGCGUGAGUGAUGAAGGCUUUCGGGUCGUAAAGCUCUGUCAGAGGGGAAGAAAUGGAACGUGCUAAUAUCACGUUUUCUUGACGGUACCCUCAAAGGAAGCACCGGCUAACUCCGUGCCAGCAGCCGCGGUAAUACGGAGGGUGCAAGCGUUGUUCGGAUUUAUUGGGCGUAAAGCGCGUGUAGGCGGUUUUUUAAGUCUGAUGUGAAAGCCCUGGGCUCAACCCAGGAAGUGCAUUGGAUACUGGAAGACUUGAAUACGGGAGAGGGUAGUGGAAUUCCUAGUGUAGGAGUGAAAUCCGUAGAUAUUAGGAGGAACACCGGUGGCGAAGGCGGCUACCUGGACCGAUAUUGACGCUGAGACGCGAAAGCGUGGGGAGCAAACA
rnacentral:rRNA from 1 species